GAUGAACGCUGGCGGCGUGCCUAAUACAUGCAAGUCGAGCGAACAGACGAGGGGCUUGCUCCUCUGACGUUAGCGGCGGACGGGUGAGUAACACGUGGAUAACCUACCUAUAAGACUGGGAUAACUUCGGGAAACCGGAGCUAAUACCGGAUAAUAUAUUGAACCGCAUGGUUCAAUAGUGAAAGACGGUUUUGCUGUCACUUAUAGAUGGAUCCGCGCCGCAUUAGCUAGUUGGUAAGGUAACGGCUUACCAAGGCAACGAUGCGUAGCCGACCUGAGAGGGGGAUCGGCCAAACUGGAACUGAAACACGGUCCAGACUCCCACGGGGGGCCGCAGGAGGGAAUUUUCCGAAAUGGGCGAAAGCUUGACGGAGCAACGCCGCGUGAGUGAUGAAGGUCUUCGGAUCGUAAAACUCUGUUAUGAGGGAAAAAAAAAUGUGUAAGUAACUAUGCCCGUCUUGGCGGUACCUAAUCAGAAAGCCACGGCUAACUACGU
rnacentral:rRNA from 1 species